rnacentral:rRNA from 1 species
GAUGAACGCUGGCGGCGUGCCUAAUACAUGCAAGUCGAGCGAACGGACGAGAAGCUUGCUUCUCUGAUGUUAGCGGCAGACGUGUGAGUAACACGUGUAUAACCUACCUAUAAUACUGGUAUAACUUCGGGAAACCGGCGCUAAUACCGUAUAAUAUUUUGAACCGCAUUGUUCAAAAGUGAAAUACGGCCUUUCUGUCACUUAUCGAUGGUUCUGCGCUGCAUUAGCUAGUUGGUAAGGUGACAGCUUACCAAGGGAACGAUGCAUAGGCGACCUGAGAGGGUGAUAGGCCACACUGGAACUGGGCCACGGACCAGACUCCUACGGGAGGCAGCAGUCGGGUAUGUUACGCAAUGGGCGAAAGCAUGACGGAGCAACGCGGCGUGAGUGAUGACGGUCUUCGGAUCGUAAAACUCUGUUAUUAGGGAAGAACAUAUGUGUAAGUAAAUGUGCACAUCUUGACGGUAACUAAUCAGAAAGCCACGGCUAACUACGUG